rnacentral:rRNA from 1 species
GACGAACGCUGGCGGCGUGCUUAACACAUGCAAGUCGAACGGAAAGGCCCUGCUUUUGUGGGGUGCUCGAGUGGCGAACGGGUGAGUAACACGUGAGUAACCUGCCCUUGACUUUGGGAUAACUUCAGGAACCUGGGGCUAAUACCGGAUAGGAGCUCCUGCUGCAUGGUGGGGGUUGGAAAGUUUCGGCGGUUGGGGAUGGACUCGCGGCUUAUCAGCUUGUUGGUGGGGUAGUGGCUUACCAAGGCUUUGACGGGUAGCCGGCCUGUGAGGGUGACCGGCCACAUUGGGACUGAGAUACGGCCCAGACUCCUACGGGAGGCAGCAGUGGGGAAUAUUGCACAAUGGGCGGAAGCCUGAUGCAGCAACGCCGCGUGCGGGAUGACGGCCUUCGGGUUGUAAACCGCUUUCGCCUGUGACGAAGCGUGAGUGACGGUAAUGGGUAAAGAAGCACCGGCUAACUACGUG